rnacentral:rRNA from 1 species
UAUUUUGACUGUACAAAGGUAGCAUAAUCAAUAGUCUCUUAAUUGGUGACUUGUAUGAAAGAUUGGAUGAGAUAUAUACUGUCUCUAAUUAAUUUAUUGAAAUUAAUUUUUUAGUAAAAAAGCUAAAAUAAUUUUAAAAGACGAGAAGACCCUAUAGAGUUUAAUAAUUUAUUUAAUUAUUAUUAAUAUAUAAUUUUUAAAAUUAAAAUUAAAUAAAUUAUUUUGUUGGGGUGAUAAAAAAAUUAAAUUAACUUUUUUUAAUUAUUAACAUUAAUUUAUGAAUAAAUGAUCCAUUUAUAGUGAUUAAAAGAAAAAAUUACCUUAGGGAUAACAGCGUAAUUUUUUUUUUUAGUUCAAAUAGGAAAAAAAG